rnacentral:lncRNA from 1 species
UCUCCUUACCGGUAAGUCUCUUUAAUCGUUCCGUAGUACGUCAUCGUGUGACUAACUCCUUAGUCACAUUGAGCUCAUGAUGAUGUUCUAUCGAGUGGGCCUAGAGAUACCUCUCCGUCACACGGAGUGACAAAUCCCGAUCUCGAUUCGUGCCAACCCAACAGAUACUUCCGGAGGUACCCAUAGUGCACCUUUAUAGUCACCCAGUUACGUUGUGACGUUUGAUACACCCAAAGCACUCCUACGGUCUCCGGGAGUUGCACAAUCUCACGGUCGAAGGAAAAGACACUUGACAUUAGAAAAGCUUUAGCAUACGAACAAUACGAUCUAGUGCUAUGC